rnacentral:rRNA from 1 species
AUACGUAGGGGGCGAGCGUUGUCCGGAAUGAUUGGGCGUAAAGGGCGCGUAGGCGGCCCGGUAAGUCUGGAGUGAAAGUCCUGCUUUUAAGGUGGGAAUUGCUUUGGAUACUGUCGGGCUUGAGUGCAGGAGAGGUAAGUGGAAUUCCCAGUGUAGCGGUGAAAUGCGUAGAGAUUGGGAGGAACACCAGUGGCGAAGGCGACUUACUGGACUGUAACUGACGCUGAGGCGCGAAAGUGUGGGGAGCAAACAGGAUUAGAUACCCUGGUAGUCCACACUGUAAACGAUGAAUGCUAGGUGUAGGGGGUAUCGACCCCUUCUGUGCCGCAGUUAACACAAUAAGCAUUCCGCCUGGGGAGUACGGCCGCAGGGUUGAAACUCAAAGGAAUUGGCGGGG